GCCAGGUGGGGUGGCACACACCUUUAGUCCCUGCUACCCAGGAAGCUGAAUCCAGGAGGUUCUAGGCUGUAGCGUGCUAUGCUGAUGGGAUGCUUUUGCAAUGUUUGACAUCAAUAUGGUGACUCCUAAGAGCAGGGACCCACAGAUUUCCAAAGGGUGGGGAGCCAGUCCAGGCUGGAAAUGGAACAGGUCAAACCCCAAUGCUGAUCAGCAAUGGGAUCAUACCUGACAGUAGCCACUACCCGCCAGCCCAGGCCUGGUGU
rnacentral:SRP_RNA from 1 species